rnacentral:rRNA from 1 species
AUACGGAAGGUCCGGGCGUUAUCCGGAUUUAUUGGGUUUAAAGGGAGCGCAGGCGGAGAUGCAAGCGUGACGUCAAAUUUCGGGGCUCAACCCCGUCUCGCGUCGCGAACUGCGUCCCUUGGUUGCGGGAAGGGGAGGCGGAACUCGUGGUGUAGCGGUGAAAUGCAUAGAUAUCACGAAGAACUCCGAUCGCGAAGGCAUCCUUCCGGCCCGUCAACGACGCUCAUGCUCGAAGGUGCGGGUAUCAAACAGGAUUAGAUACCCGGGUAGUCCGCACAGUAAACGAUGGACCCCCGCGGUUUGGCCUGUAUGGCUGAGCCGCCAAGCGAAAGCGUUAAGUGUCCCACCUGGGGAGUACGCCGGCAACGGUGAAACUCAAAGGAAUUGACGGGG